UGGUUCUGGCAUNGAUGAAGAACGCAGCGAAAUGCGAUAAGUAAUGUGAAUUGCAGAAUUCAGUGAAUCAUCGAAUCUUUGAACGCACAUUGCGCCCUUUGGUAUUCCGAGGGGCAUGCCUGUUCGAGCGUCAUUAAAACCCUCAAGCACUGCUUGGUGUUGGGCCAGGCUAUAACUAGCCAGCCUUAAAAUCAGUGGCAGUGCUUUUCUAGCUCUAAGCGUAGUAAAUUUUCUCGCUAUAGGUGCAGAGAUGCGUUGGCCAUAAAGCCUCAAUUCUUAUGACUUGACCUCGGAUCAGGUAGGGAUACCCGCUGA
rnacentral:misc_RNA from 1 species